GAUGAACGCUGGCGGCGUGCCUAACACAUGCAAGUCGAGCGAUUUACUUCGGUAAAGAGCGGCGGACGGGUGAGUAACGCGUGGGUAACCUGCCCUGUACACACGGAUAACAUACCGAAAGGUAUGCUAAUACGAGAUAAUAUACUUUUAUCGCAUGGUAGAAGUAUCAAAGCUCCGGCGGUACAGGAUGGACCCGCGUCUGAUUAGCUAGUUGGUAAGGUAACGGCUUACCAAGGCGACGAUCAGUAGCCGACCUGAGAGGGUGAUCGGCCACAUUGGAACUGAGACACGGUCCAAACUCCUACGGGAGGCAGCAGUGGGGAAUAUUGCACAAUGGGCGAAAGCCUGAUGGAGCGACGCCGCGUGAGCGAAGAAGGCCUCGGUUGUAACGCUUUGUCAGGAGAAUACUUGAGUUAAUACUCGGGGGAGUGACGGUACCUGAAGAAUAAGACACCGGCUAACUACGUG
rnacentral:rRNA from 1 species